CCUACGGGUGGCAGCAGUGAGGAAUAUUGGUCAAUGGGCGUGAGCCUGAACCAGCCAAGUCGCGUGAAGGAUGAAGGCUCUAUGGUUUGUAAACUUCUUUUAUACGGGCAUAAAGUGCGGCACGUGUUCCUUUUUGUAUGUACCUUAUGAAUAAGCAUCGGCUAACUCCGUGCCAGCAGCCGCGGUAAUACGGAGGAUCCGAGCGUUAUCCGGAUUUAUUGGGUUUAAAGGGUGCGUAGGUGGCGUGUUAAGUCAGCGGUGAAAGUUUGUGGCUCAACCAUAAAAUUGCCGUUGAAACUGGUUGGCUUGAGUAUGUUUGAGGUAGGCGGAAUGCGUGGUGUAGCGGUGAAAUGCUUAGAUAUCACGCAGAACCCCGAUUGCGAAGGCAGCUUACGAAAGCAUAACUGACGCUGAAGCACGAAAGCGUGGGGAUCGAACAGGAUUAGAUACCCGAGUAGUC
rnacentral:rRNA from 1 species